GAGAAGCGUUCGAGGAGGCUCGACACUGGAGCAAGUCCUGGUGCACCGCAAAGAGUAGCUACAUGCCAGCUGGCCUACGCGUAGUGGAGGGCUAUUGGAGACACUGCCUGGAAACACUGGCUUAAAACAAAACCUACCUGGGUGGAACGCGACACCUGUUCCUGUGAUGGUUUGUGUUUCAACUGCCAGUGCCACCAUCUAAACAAUACUGCAGGUCAGAAGUGGUUUACAUUUAUUGUUUUCAUUCAACAAUAUGCAGUUAACUUUCAGUGCCAGUAAGAAUUAAUCAAUAAUGGUUGAAGUGUUUCUUAAGCCAUGCCACUGAAGGAGAAGAACAUGGGUGUCAUCACCAUCCACAAAAGAAUAACUCCUGCGUGCCUCAUUCGACCAAAGUCUCCAGUGAGUAUCAAGAGAGAGCCCCAAGCCACAGCAUCAGAUGGGAGGCCAGUGCCUUACCUUAAAGGAAAGCCCCAGGACAAAGCCAGGGAGGGAAGCCGGGGAGCUGACUGGACUUCCUGGAUCUCCCACGACUCACUCAGGAUGCGCCAGGUCUGUCUGAUCUGACAUCUACAGACUCAUC
rnacentral:lncRNA from 1 species